rnacentral:tRNA from 1 species
AGCAGCGUGGCUUAGUGGAAAGAGCACGGGCUGGCGACUCAGAAGAAGUGGGUUCUAAUCCCAGCUCUGCCA